GAUGAACGCUAGCUACAGGCUUAACACAUGCAAGUCGAGGGACCGGCGCACGGGUGAGUAACACGUAUCCAACCUGCCCUUUACUCGGGGAUAGCCUUUCGAAAGAAAGAUUAAUACCCGAUGUAAAGGAUGGGGAUGCGUUCCAUUAGGUUGUUGGGGAGGUAACGGCUAACCCAGCCUUCGAUGGAUAGGGGUUCUGAGGGGAAGGUCCCCUACAUUGGAACUGCGACCCAGUCCAAACUCCUAGGGGAGGGAGGAUAGAGGAGUAUUGGUCAAGCAGCGUUAGUCUGACCCAGCCAAGUAGCGUGAAGGAUGAAGGGUUUUGGGACGUAAACUUCUUUUGUAUAAGAAGCUGUAUUAUAUGAAUAAGGAUCGGCUAACUCCGUGCCAGCAGCCGCGGUAAUAC
rnacentral:rRNA from 1 species